rnacentral:rRNA from 1 species
GAUAAACGCUGGCGGCGUGCAUGAGACAUGCAAGUCGAACGAAGGAUCGGGCUUGCUCGAUCCUUAGUGGCGGACGGCUGAGUAACGCGUAGGUGACCUACCCCGAAGUGGGGAAUAAAUGCCCGAAAGGGUGGCUAAUACCGCCUGUGGUCGCACGUUCAUUCGUGCGAGUAAAGCCGCAAGGCGCUUCGGGAGGGGCCUGCGUCCGAUUAGCUCGUUGGUGGGGUAAUGGCUUACCAAGGCGACGAUCGGUAGGUGGUCUGAGAGGACGAUCACCCAGACUGGGACUGAGACACGGCCCAGACUCCUACGGGAGGCAGCAGUCGGGAAUUUUGCUCAAUGGGGGAAACCCUGAAGCAGCAACGCCGCGUGAGGGAUGAAGGCCUUCGGGUUGUAAACCUCUUUUGUCAGGGACGAUGAUGACGGUACCUGGCGAAUAAGCCACGGCUAACUACGUG